CGAUCUAAUGAAAACGAUAAACGUUAAGCGCUACUUCCAAAAAGGCUGAAGUCGUGAAGGAAUUUACUGGAGCGAAAACAUGGGUCAUGCUAAAUUAUGAGAAGAGCAAAAAGAGCUUUGCACAAUUAAACGAUAUUAUUGACCACUAUACA